AUGUUGGAGGUGACUCAGAGUCUGCUGCAGUGCUGAGGCACCAGUUUUAGGAGAGGUGAUGACUUUGACUCUUUGGGCCAGCUGGUGGAGAUGAUAGACAAGUAUUGAAUGUUAGCAAACCAUCUAUAAAAAGAGGCCCAAGCUCAACACAAUAAUUCUGAAUUCACAGAACAAGAAAAGAAAACCAUAGGCAAAACUGCAAUAUGCUUGAAAUUGCAAAGUGAAGCUUUACAGUCCCCACAAUCCCAAGCAGAAUUUAAACUAGAAGACCUGAAGAAGCUAGGCCCUAUCCUAAAGAAUAUUCUUACAUAUUAUAAAGAAUUUCCAUUUGCUGUUCGGUCUGUCCACUUAAGAAGGAUUUUAGCACCUGGUGAAGCAGAGAAUUUAGAAUUUGAAGAAGAUGAAGAAGAGGUUGGUGCUGGAGCAGGGUCUCCUGAUUCCUUUCCUGCUCAAGUUCUCGGUACUUUAUAACCAAAGUUGCCAUCAGAACAAGGAACAUUACUCACUAUCAGAAUUGAGGAAAACAGCUUGACAGAUGCUGGGCAAUGAAUUGAUCCCUAUAUUACAGUUAGUGUAAAGGAUCUGAAUGGCAUAGAUUUAACUCCUGUGCAAGAUACUCCUAUGGCUUCAAGAAAAGAAGAUACAUAUGUUCAUUUUAAUGUGGAUAUUAAGCUCCAGAAGUAUGUUGAUAAAUUAAUCAAGGGUGACACUAUCUUAUUUGAAUUCUAAUACUACAAGCCUAAUAAAAGGUUUACCAGUACCAAGUGUUUUACUUUCAUGGAGGUGGAUAAAAUUAAACCCGGGCUAAUAGAAACAGAACUAUACAAGAAACCCACUGACUUUAAAAGGAAGAAAUUGCAAAUAUUGACCAAGAAACCACUUUAUCUUCAUCUGAAUCAAACUUUACAGAAAGAACAACACUGA